AAUAAAAGUGAAGGAUUUAUGAAAGAAAGAACCAAAAAAAAAAAAAUUAUUAAGCCACAGUAUGAAGCAAUAGGACAACACCAAAUGUUGGUCUAACUACUGCACAAAGAAAAUAUAUAAAACUGAGAGCUGGUUUGGGUUUUGUGGGGUCUCAUCCAUGUGGAAGAAAACUCCAUGUGCCAAUUUACUUGGCUAGGAAGUAAACUUGGAGAGCAAGCAAAAUUUGUGGAGGAAAAAUUUUGUAUUUAUUUUUCCUUUUCUUAUUUUGUGCUUAGAGGCCAAGAACUUGGAGCCCAAGUUUUGUCAUCUACAAAAGGAUGACCAUUCUUCAUUGUAAAACCAUCCAAAAAUCAUAGUUCAAUACAUUGUAAAAGCAGAGAGUUGAUAGAGCAAUUCUCUUAGGUCUAUUUGGGAUCUCUUCCCUUUCCUUGUUAAUAUAUCAAGGCAGUUGUUCACUGAUAAAUUUAGGAUCAUUUGGAUCCAAACCACGUUAAAUCUUGUGUCUUUCUCUCGUUCCUUAUUUCACGUUUCCGCUAACAAAAACAGAUGUUAAGUAGCAGUUUCUCAAGCUUAGAGAGGAUUCACGUCAAGGCUAAUGUAGCAAUUUUCUCAACUGGCUUUCCAAAGGCUAUGAAAAAUGGAAAUUAUGAAGCACGAUGAGUUUGAAAAACUCCAGGCAAGUUCAGGGAGUCUAAGCUGAUGACAACAAUGAUGAGGAGAAGAACAAUGUGAUAUUAAUGUUACCUAGAAACAGAAACAGCAGCAACACGGCGAGGCUGAGUAACAGCGAUGAUCCCAGAUUUAGCAUAACCCCUUCGAUAAAGUAUUUGUGGAAGUUGUGUACUUUUACCAGAACCAGUCUCACCAAUAACUACCACUACAGGGUUUUUCUCCACUGUUUCUGCGAUUUUCUCCUCAAAUCGAACUAUAGGUAAAUCCCCCAUUGGUUAUGAUUUCUGCCUUUCGAACAAUUCUUUAACCUCUGUAUUGUUUGGCAGAGCCAAACUUUCUUACUGUACCAUCAAAAUUUCCAGUUUGCUACUUUGGGUAUUGCUUUCUGAAAAGGAGUGAAACGAAUGAU